rnacentral:rRNA from 1 species
CGGGACACGUGGUAUCCUGUCUGAAUAUGGGGGGACCAUCCUCCAAGGCUAAAUACUCCUGACUGACCGAUAGUGAACCAGUACCGUGAGGGAAAGGCGAAAAGAACCCCGGCGAGGGGAGUGAAAAAGAACCUGAAACCGUGUACGUACAAGCAGUGGGAGCACGCUUAGGCGUGUGACUGCGUACCUUUUGUAUAAUGGGUCAGCGACUUAUAUUCUGUAGCAAGGUUAACCGAAUAGGGGAGCCGAAGGGAAACCGAGUCUUAACUGGGCGUUAAGUUGCAGGGUAUAGACCCGAAACCCGGUGAUCUAGCCAUGGGCAGGUUGAAGGUUGGGUAACACUAACUGGAGGACCGAACCGACUAAUGUUGAAAAAUUAGCGGAUGACUUGUGGCUGGGGGUGAA